rnacentral:rRNA from 1 species
UACGGAGGAUCCAAGCGUUAUCCGGAAUCAUUGGGUUUAAAGGGUCCGUAGGCGGUUUAAUAAGUCAGUGGUGAAAGCCCAUCGCUUAACGAUGGAACGGCCAUUGAUACUGUUAGACUUGAAUUAUUAGGAAGUUACUAGAAUAUGUAGUGUAGCGGUGAAAUGCUUAGAUAUUACAUGGAAUACCAAUUGCGAAGGCAGGUUACUACUAAUAUAUUGACGCUGAUGGACGAAAGCGUGGGGAGCGAACAGG